CUGGCUCAGGAUGAACGCUAGCGAUAGGCCUAACACAUGCAAGGUCGAGGGGCAGCACAUGAGUAGCAAUACGAUGGUGGCGACCGGCGCACGGGUGAGUAACACGUAUGCAACCUACCGUUUAACAGGGGAAUAACCCGUUGAAAAACGGACUAAUACUCCAUAACACAGGGGUCCCACAUGGGAAUAUUUGUUAAAGAUUAAUCGGUUGAAGAUGGGCAUGCGUUCCAUUAGCUUGUUGGUGAGGUAACGGCUCACCAAGGCCACGAUGGAUAGGGGAACUGAGAGGUUUAUCCCCCACACUGGAACUGAGACACGGUCCAGACUCCUACGGGAGGCAGCAGUGAGGAAUAUUGGUCAAUGGAGGCAACUCUGAACCAGCCAAGUCGCGUGAAGGAAUGAAGGUCUUAUGGAUUGUAAACUUCUUUUGCAAGGGAAUAAAGUGGGGACGUGUCCUCCUUUGCAUGUACCUUGCGAAUAAGGAUCGGCUAACUCCGUGCCAGCAGCUGC
rnacentral:rRNA from 1 species